AACGCACGAGACCUGCGGACCUGCGGAGGGAUCAUUACAGAGUUACUACUCCAAACCCAUUGUGAACCUUACCUAUGUUCUGUUGCCUCGGCGGCGCGGUCAGCGCCCCUCUGAAAAGAGGACGAUGCCCUCCCGCCGGCAGCACCAAACUCUUGAAUUUUACAGCGGAUUACAGUUCUGAUUUAAAAACAAAAAAAACAAGUUAAAACUUUUAACAACGGAUCUCUAGAUCGGAAGAGC
rnacentral:misc_RNA from 1 species